rnacentral:rRNA from 1 species
UACAGAGGGUGCGAGCGUUAAUCGGAAUUACUGGGCGUAAAGCGUGCGUAGACGGCUAUCUAAGUCGGGUGUGAAAGCCCCGGGCUCAACCUGGGAAUUGCAUUCGAGACUGAAUAGCUAGGGUGCGGUAGAGGGAAGCGGAAUUUCCGGUGUAGCGGUGAAAAUGCGUAGAUAUCAGGAAGAACACCCGUGGCGAAGGCGGCUCUCUGGGACUG